ACGGGGUGCAGCAGGCGCGAAAACUUUGCAAUGUGCGAAAGCACGACAAGGUUAAUCCGAGUGGUUUCUGCUAAAGAAACCUUUUGUCAGUCCUAGAAACACUGAUGAAUAAGGGGUGGGCAAGUUCUGGUGUCAGCCGCCGCGGUAAAACCAGCACCUCAAGUGGUCAGGAUGAUUAUUGGGCCUAAAGCAUCCGUAGCUCGUUUUGUAAGUUUUCGGUUAAAUCCAUGCGCUUAACGUAUAGGCCGCCGAAAAUACUGUGCAGCUAGGGAGUGGGAGAGGUACACGGUACUCGAUAGGAAGGGGUAAAAUCCUUUGAUCUAUUGAUGACCACCUGUGGCGAAGGCGGUGUACCAGAACACGUUCGACGGUGAGGGAUGAAAGCUGGGGGAGCAAACCGGAUUAGAUACCCGGGUAGUCCCAGCUGUAAACGAUGCAGACUCGGUGAUGCAUUGGCUUGUGGCCAAUGCAGUGCCGCAGGGAAGCCGUUAAGUCUGCCGCCUGGGAAGUACGUACGCAAGUAUGAAACUUAAAGGAAUUGGCGGGGGAGCAC
rnacentral:rRNA from 2 species